UAGAUGUUAUAUGACUGACGGAUAAAGUGGAAAUGACCACAGGAAGUAUAAUGUUGAUAAAAGCCGACCGUCUGGGCAGAAAAG
rnacentral:ncRNA from 21 species